AUGGACACCAAAAAGAAAAAAACUACAAUUGUAUUCUUUUCGGAUAUAAAUAGAUUCCAACGAUUUCUUUUCCAGCAAUUCAUUCCAAUCCUGUUUGUUUGUUUGUUUCCUUUCUAAUUUUUCAUUUUUUUUAACGCUAGUUCCCAAAGAUAGGGAGGGAAUAAAAACCUGUUUUAAAAAAAAGAAGAAGAAGAAACUUAUAUUUUCUGAAAAAGAAGAAAGAUUUAAAAUAAUAGUUCUUAAAAGAUGAUGUGUCAAAUAUAAGAUAAGGUGUGCAUGUUUGAACAAUUAAUAGACUACAUAUUAAUUGAGAUAAGAGUAGAAUAAAAUCAAUCAAAACUGAUUUGAAUUAGUUUUUAUAUUGAGUUUAUUUUCCCCAUAUUGACUGUUUCCAUAUAAAAUUUGAGUAUGAAAUGAAAGAGUGGCAAAGAGGUCGGGAUCCAAAGAUUUCGCAUUCUCCCCUGUUACUUGGGAAACACAUAUUACAAAUAUAAAUUGGUUGUUUGUGGUUGUUACCAUAACGGCAACCGGAAUGGAUCACGAAGGGGAAGCUAAGAGGACUGAUUUGAUGACUAUCACUCGGUUUGUUCUGAAUGAGCAGUCAAAGUAUCCAGAAUCACGCGGCGAUUUCACCAUCCUCCUCAAUCACAUUGUUCUUGGCUGCAAGUACGUUUGCUCUGCUGUUAACAAGGCUGGACUCGCCAAACUUCUAGGACUUGCUGGAGAAACCAACGUUCAGGGUGAGGAGCAAAAGAAAUUGGACGUGCUUUCUAAUGAGGUGUUUGUUAACGCCUUAAUCAGCAGCGGGCGCACUUGCCUUCUUGUUUCAGAAGAGCUUGAAGAGGCUGUUUUUGUGAAGCCAAAACAGCGUGGAAAAUACAUUGUUGUAUUUGAUCCUUUGGAUGGAUCCUCAAAUAUUGAAUGCGGUGUUUCUAUUGGAACUAUCUUUGGCAUUUAUGCAGCGAAGGACAAAGAUAAAAUUACACUUGAUGAUGUCUUGCAACCUGGGAACAGAAUGUUAGCAGCUGGUUACUGCAUGUAUGGUAGCUCUUGCAUGUUCGUGAUUAGCACAGGACAUGGUGUAAAUGGUUUCACACUUGAUCCUUCUCUUGGAGAGUUCAUAUUAACUCACCCAAACAUCAAGAUACCGAAGAAAGGGAAUAUUUAUUCAGUGAAUGAAGGAAAUGCCAAAAACUGGGAGAAACCAAUCACUGAGUAUGUGGAUAAUUGCAAGUUUCCUCAAGAUGGUUCUUCACCAAAGUCCCUUAGAUACGUUGGAAGUAUGGUUGCUGAUAUCCAUAGAACAUUGCUUUAUGGUGGUAUCUUCAUGUACCCUGCUGAUAAGAAAAGUCCAGAUGGAAAGCUAAGGCUUCUCUACGAAGUGUUUCCAAUGUCAUAUUUGAUGGAGCAAGCUGGAGGUCAAGCUUUUACUGGAAAAGGAAGGGCACUUGACUUGGUUCCAAAGAAAAUACAUGAACGAUCACCUGUAAUCCUUGGAAGUUACGAUGACGUGGAGCACGUGAAAGCUUUUUAUGCUGCAUCCAAAGCAAAUGGUGCAUGAAUAUUGAAUAUCAAUUGGUCCUUGCAUUAUUAGCAGUUAAGUGGGUGGCACAUCUUUCUUUCAAUUGUUUCCUUCUUGUCAGGAAUUUGUUUUAGUGAGUUCCUUAAUUCAUAAGAUCCAUAGUAUUAGGCAGAACAAGGUUUUUAAUCACACAAGCUCGUUUUUCUAGUUCUAGUACUAAUAAGUGUAACAGGGUCUUUAUGUAUAUUUGGCAAUUCACACGAAAUUCUUGUAGUACCUCCUUAAAAUAUACCAUGUACAUGAUAGAAGCACCACUUCAAAAAUAAAACUAAAAGAAGUAAAAAGCAUACACAUGCAUGCACGUAUAUUGAUUCAAACUAUAUAAUAAAAAGGAAAUUAAUGUACCUAAUUUUUUUUCAAAUUUAUUGUAAUGAAAGCAAAUUAAUUAAGGAGGGGAUAUGAUGAUUGACCAUAGCCCAGCCUGUGAUUGCCAAUCACACAGCCUGUGUUUGACCAUACAGAUUAUAUAGCAUUUGCUAAUUAUGGUUAAGGUAUAUAAUUAAUCUAAGUUAUUAGGCUCAUUAUAAAAACCAUGUUAGGAUGAAGUAGAAACUACUCAUUCAUUUGCAUCCAAAGGGGGGAACACAUCAAGAAGGAAACCAAAAGCUCCUUGAUUCGUUCUCCCACAAUUUUCUGCAUUGAACAUGGGCAACUGCGCUAGCGCUCCCAAGACCAACGAGGGUAAUGAUGCCCCAUUGCCAGUGCCAGUGCCCGAGCCUGUCAUCGACCAGGAGCAGGCCGCCACUGCUGUCUCCGCCGCCUCCGAUGACAACGCUCUAGGCACCAUAUUCAUUGAGAAGGAAGAAAAGGAGGCAAAGGUGGAAGAAGACAAGAAAAGCGAGGAGGUGGUGGCAGCUGAUGAGGAGAAGAAAGAGGAGGAAAAGCCUAAAGCCACCGUAGAAGAGGCACCAAAACUUGAAGCUUAAAAGUUGAAGAAACUCCUCCAUCACAAAUAUAAUGCAUACAUGCAACGCUGUCGUCAUUCGAAUCAAAUGUUUAAUUUUAAUCAUUUUUCCGUUAUUUUGUGCUUAAAGAUAUAAUUCAUUAACAUUAAUUUCUUUAAUGGAAAAUUGAUUCUUACUUGAGUUGACUAC